UACGAAGGGGGCUAGCGUUGCUCGGAAUUACUGGGCGUAAAGGGCGCGUAGGCGGACAGUUAAGUCAGAGGUGAAAGCCCAGGGCUCAACCCUGGAAUAGCCUUUGAUACUGGCUGCCUUGAGUGCGGGAGAGGUGUGUGGAACUCCGAGUGUAGAGGUGAAAUUCGUAGAUAUUCGGAAGAACACCAGUGGCGAAGGCGACACAACUGGCCCGUAACUGACGCUGAGGCGCGAAAGCGUGGGGA
rnacentral:rRNA from 1 species